rnacentral:rRNA from 1 species
ACGGGAGGCAGCAGUAGGGAAUUUUGCGCAAUGGGGGAAACCCUGACGCAGCAACGCCGCGUGAUUGAUGAAGCCCUUCGGGGUGUAAAGAUCUGUCAGUAGGGAAGAACAAAUGACUGUACCUACAGAGGAAGCAUCGGCUAACUCCGUGCCAGCAGCCGCGGUAAUACGGGGGAUGCAAGCGUUGUCCGGAAUCAUUGGGCGUAAAGAGUUCGUAGGUGGUUUGUUAAGUUUGGUGUUAAAUGCAGAUGCUCAACAUCUGUUCGGCAUCGGAUACUGGCAGACUUGAAUGCGGUAGAGGUAAAGGGAAUUCCUGGUGUAGCGGUGAAAUGCGUAGAUAUCAGGAGGAACAUCGGUGGCGUAAGCGCUUUACUGGGCCGUAAUUGACACUGAGGAACGAAAGCCAGGGUAGCAAAUAGGAUUAGAUACCCUGGUA